UUCAAUUGACAGCUACAAAGCGCGACUAGUUACUAAAGGUUUCCAUCAGUGUCCUAGUGUUGAUAUCAUGACACAUUCAGUCCAGUUGUCAAACCCACUACUGUUCGCUUAGUUCUCAAUCUUGCUAUUAGUCGAUGAUGGUCUCUUCGUCAACUUGAUGUCAACAAUGCCUUUCUACAAGGUCAUCUCUCUGAAGAUGUUUUCAUGGCAGAGCCACCAGGUUUUCUUGAUCAUGAUAAUCCCACACACGUUUGCAAGUUACGCAAGGCUAUAUAUGGUCUCAAACAAGCACCACGGGCUUGGUACCAUGAGCUCAGACAAUUUCUUGUACCCUCUGGGUUUGCAAACUCUCAUGCGGACACAUCACUCUUUGUCUUCAACACUAGCGGUAAUCAAGUCUAUCUCUUUUUAUAUGUUGAUGACAUAAUUAUUAUUGGAAAUAAUGUCACUGCAGUUCAACAGUUUAUUGAUCUUCUUGGCAAAAGAUUUUCCAUCAAAGAUCUUAGUGACUUGACUUACUUCCUUGGUAUUGAAGUUGCCACUACUUCCACUGGUUUACGUCUCUCUCAGCAGAAAUAUAUCACAGAUCUUCUCGCUGGCAUAAAUAUGACAGGAGUCAAAUCUGUCACCACUCCACUUACCACCCAGCCAACACUUACAGUUCUUUCCAGCACUGCUUUAACAUAUCCUUCUGAAUACAGGACAGUUGUUGGAAGUUUCCAAUAUUUGUGCCUUACUCACCUUGAUAUUGCAUAUGAUGUUAAUAAGUUGUCUCAAUUCAUGCAUCGACCUACUACUGAUCAUUGGAAUGUUGUCAAGCGUUUGCUUCGCUAUCUAUCUGGUAUAGCCGAUCAUGGUCUUGCCUUGUACUAUCACACAUCUCUAUCUCUUUAUGCCUUCUCUGAUGCUGAUUGUACUGGUAAUAAGGAUGACUACACCUCCACCAGUGCCUACAUUGUUUACCUUGGUUAUAAUCCGAUCUCCUAGUCCUCCAAGAAACAACGCACAGUUGCCCGCUCCUCCACUGAAGCUGAAUAUCGCGCUGUCGCUUCUACAGCUGCUGAGUUACAAUGGAUUUAUUCUCUUCUCACUGAGCUUGGCAUUUGUAUUGCUGCUGCUCUGGUUAUCUAUUGUGAUAAUGUUGGUGCAACUCAUCUUUGCUCCAAUCCUGUCUUCCAUCCAUGAAUGAAGCAUGUUGCAAUUGAUUAUCAUUUUAUUCGGGGUCAAGUACAAAAUAGAGCUUUACAUGUCGCCCAUGUGUCCUCAGAAAAUCAACUAGCCGAUAUCUUGACCAAGCCUCUUUCACGCACUCGCUUUCAAGCUUUGAAGAUCAAGAUUGGACUCUCUACACGAGCUCCAUCUUGAGGGGGCAUAUUAGAGGAAUUAAUUGUGUAAUUAUCCCAUUAGCUAUUGUUAAUAUUUUGAUUGACAACAAAUCUCAUAGAUUAGAUAAUUAGCUAAGUUUAGAAUAUAUGAUUGGCUAUCAAUUCUCAUCUUGUACGUGUAUAAAUACCUCACUUUUAUUCAAUGAAAAGCAAG
rnacentral:lncRNA from 1 species